UAUGUCAAUUGAAUCAGGUUCAUGUGUUCACGAAGAGGAGAAUGAAACCCUAGCUAAUUUCCUUUCCCGUGCCUCCAUAUCUAAACCCCCAAUUCAAUCUUCACUUGAAUUGUAAUCAUGCUAUCUUUUUCUUUUCUUUUUUGAGAUAUAUAUUUCUCACCGAGGCUCCGCGGAUAAUACUAUGUUGCCCUGGUUGACAGCUUGGACACAGAGGAUUGAUGAGCUGGUGGAUGGUCCAAAUUCCCGUCUCAUGGACUCAAUUGUGUUGGAUAACUGAGAAAAGAGGCUCGAGGACAUCUUUGAUAGAUACCCUCAUGAAAAAUUGAUGUUGCCUUGGCUGACACUGUCCAACAAUAUCCCUUAAAAAUCAAGCCGUUCAAAGACUUGGCGAAAGGAAUGAGAAUGGACACGUGGAAAACUAGUUAUGAGAACUACGAAGAGCUUGAACUGUAUUGCUACUAUGUAGAAGGAACCGGUGGCUUAAUGAGUGUUCCGGUAGCAGGAAUUUAACCAGAUUCUGCAAGUUCCACAUAAAGCAUUUAUAAAGCCACUCUUUCAUUGAGUACCGCAUUACAACUAACAUCCUAAAAGAUGUAGCAGAAUAGUAAGCUUUCUUCGAAUUACUGUAAGGAAUUUUGACUUGGCAGGCUGUUUUUGUGUUCAUCCAAACUAACAGUUCCUGUUUUUUCAAUAUAGUGCUUUAAGGGGGAGAGUAUACUUGUAUAGUUGGACAGGUUCGUAUAGUAGACACCUAGAAGGCAAUACUUGUCUAGUAUUAGUAUACAAACAGGGGGGAGGUGAGGUUAGAAGCAAAUAUGUAAAGAGUUGAGGGAAAAAGGAAAAAAGGACUUCUAAACUGAAGAAGUAAUAGGAGGACUUGACACUCAACAGAAGCUUAAUACUAAGGCCCUACUAGCUUCUAGUUUGCAGUUCAUGUGAAAGAGUUUAGUUAAUAGCUGAAAGUUGAUACCAAUAACUUAAUAAAGUGUAGUAAAUUACCAUUUGCGGCUAGUGAUUAGUAACAAAAACUAGAGACAUGUACAUUUAACUCUCACAUACAAUUGUAUCAGCUACUUUUUAAGAAACAUGUUUUUGAAUUCAUCAUUUGAUUUUGGUUUCUUGUCAUCACUUUCAACAGCUUUUGGUUUGAUCUCGGUUAAACCAAGAGGCCUGACAUUGCGUGGAACUGCAAAUGUGUUUUUUCCCUUGAGUUGGACUCCAUCAUUGUUACGCACCUCACUAGAGGUCGGCUGAUCACCAGAUGGAUCAAAAGAAUGGCUUCUCUUGGUUCUUGCCUGAUCGAUCUCCAGGCCAUAUCUUUGGACCUGAUUGAUUUUUUCUUUUAGAAGGAUCUGAUCUGACAAUGCUCAAUUUAUUCUUCAGCAACCAUUGUUUGUUCUUUACCACAACAGCCUCAAGGUGUGCAUCAUCACAGAAAUCCACAUAUGCAAGACCCCUUGAUUUCCCAGUAUGCAAGGCCCCUCGCUGUAUUAUUGUUCCUGCUCAGCUUGGUUCAAACUUUAAACACAAUUUCUACUUCCUCCAUACUAAAACAGAGUAUGGUGAGCUAAAUGGAGAAUAAAUGUAGAUCUAACAAAUGAGACGGUGGAGGCUCUUGUUUGUUUUUGAGUUAUUUUGUAAUUUACAGUAAUGUUGAAUUUGUUUAUAUGGAUUUUUAUUUUAUGCAUUAUUUCAUUAAAAACACUAAAUUAAUUAGUGAACGACUAUUUUGUAAUGCAUGUGUCCUAUGGGCA